ACCAGACUCCUACGGGAGGCAGCAGUGGGGAAUAUUGCACAAUGGGGGAAACCCUGAUGCAGCAACGCCGCGUGAGUGAAGAAGUCAUUCGUGAUGUAAAGCUCUCUCAGCAGGGAAGAAAAUGACGGUACCUGAGUAAGAAGCCCCGGCUAACUACGUGCCAGCAGCCGCGGUAAUACGUAGGGGGCAAGCGUUAUCCGGAUUUACUGGGCGUAAAGGGGGCGCAGACGGCGAUGCAAGCCAGGAGUGAAAGCCCGGGGCCCAACCCCGGGACUGCUCUUGGAACUGCGUGGCUGGAGUGCAGGAGGGGCAGGCGGAAUUCCUGGUGUAGCGGUGAAAUGCGUAGAUAUCAGGAGGAACACCGGUGGCGAAGGCGGCCUGCUGGACUGCAACUGACGUUGAGGCCCGAAAGCGUGGGGAGCAAACAGGAUUAGAUACCCCCGUAAAG
rnacentral:rRNA from 1 species